rnacentral:rRNA from 1 species
UAACACAUGCAAGUCGAGGGGCAGCAUGGUCUUAGCUUGCUAAGGCCGAUGGCGACCGGCGCACGGGUGAGUAACACGUAUCCAACCUGCCGUCUACUCUUGGACAGCCUUCUGAAAGGAAGAUUAAUACAAGAUGGCAUCAUGAGUCCGCAUGUUCACAUGAUUAAAGGUAUUCCGGUAGACGAUGGGGAUGCGUUCCAUUAGAUAGUAGGCGGGGUAACGGCCCACCUAGUCUUCGAUGGAUAGGGGUUCUGAGAGGAAGGUCCCCCACAUUGGAACUGAGACACGGUCCAAACUCCUACGGGAGGCAGCAGUGAGGAAUAUUGGUCAAUGGGCGAGAGCCUGAACCAGCCAAGUAGCGUGAAGGAUGACUGCCCUAUGGGUUGUAAACUUCUUUUAUAAAGGAAUAAAGUCGGGUAUGCAUACCCGUUUGCAUGUACUUUAUGAAUAAGGAUCGGCUAACUCCGUGCCAGCAGCCGCGGUAAUACGGAGGAUCCGAGCGUUAUCCGGAUUUAUUGGGUUUAAAGGGAGCGUAGAUGGAUGUUCAAGUCAGUUGUGAAAGUUUGCGGCUCAACCGUAAAAUUGCAGUUGACACUGGAUAUCUUGAGUGCAGUUGAGGCAGGCGGAAUUCGUGGUGUAGCGGUGAAAUGCUUAGAUAUCACGAAGAACUCCGAUUGCGAAGGCAGCCUGCUAAGCUGCAACUGACAUUGAGGCUCGAAAGUGUGGGUAUCAAACAGGAUUAGAUACCCUGGUAGUCCACACGGUAAACGAUGAAUACUCGCUGUUUGCGAUAUACAGCAAGCGGCCAAGCGAAAGCGUUAAGUAUUCCACCUGGGGAGUACGCCGGCAACGGUGAAACUCAAAGGAAUUGACGGGGGCCCGCACAAGCGGAGGAACAUGUGGUUUAAUUCGAUGAUACGCGAGGAACCUUACCCGGGCUUAAAUUGCAGAUGAAUUACGGUGAAAGCCGUAAGCCGCAAGGCAUCUGUGAAGGUGCUGCAUGGUUGUCGUCAGCUCGUGCCGUGAGGUGUCGGCUUAAGUGCCAUAACGAGCGCAACCCUUGUUGUCAGUUACUAACAGGUUCCGCUGAGGACUCUGACAAGACUGCCAUCGUAAGAUGUGAGGAAGGUGGGGAUGACGUCAAAUCAGCACGGCCCUUACGUCCGGGGCUACACACGUGUUACAAUGGGGGGGUACAGAGGGCCGCUACCACGCGAGUGGAUGCCAAUCCCAAAAACCUCUCUCAGUUCGGACUGGAGUCUGCAACCCGACUCCACGAAGCUGGAUUCGCUAGUAAUCGCGCAUCAGCCACGGCGCGGUGAAUACGUUCCCGGGCCUUGUACACACCGCCCGUCAAGCCAUGGGAGCCGGGGGUACCUGAAGUGCGUAACCGCGAGGAGCGCCCUAGGGUAAAACUGGUGACUGGGGCUAAGUC